UACAGAGGGGGCAAGCGUUGUUCGGAAUUACUGGGCGUAAAGGGCGCGUAGGCGGCCUGUUAAGUCGAACGUGAAAUCCCCGGGCUCAACCCGGGAACUGCGUCCGAUACUGGCAGGCUUGAAUCCGGGAGAGGGAUGCGGAAUUCCAGGUGUAGCGGUGAAACGCGUAGAUAUCUGGAGGAACACCGGUGGCGAAGGCGGCAUCCUGGACCGGUAUUGACGCUGAUGCGCGAAAGCCAGGGGAGCAAACGGG
rnacentral:rRNA from 1 species